rnacentral:lncRNA from 1 species
CUUCCCUAUCCCUUCGCUACUUCGCAUAUGACUGAUGUGAGUUACUUAACCCUAUUUUUAUUUUCCAAUUUGCAGAGCCGCUUCUCUUCAGUUCAGUCACCAUUUCAUUCACCAAGCACUCAAUAGUCAUAUUAAUCUUCUCUUUACUUCAUCACCUAGAGCAUAUCGAUAAGCUCACAACCAAAGCAAAAGAUUAGUCACAAUUAUCUUCUCUUUCCUUUCACCUCUCCUAAAAUGGACAAGCUCGAUAAAUCAGUCAUUUUCUCACGGGUUUACCUCAUAGCUCCGAAGCCGGGAAAUCUCAGAUAAAGGACCAAGAUGUAUUUUCAGUUCUUUUUAACAUAAAUAGUGUUAUGAUUUAUGCACCUCGUCGAUCUUUAUUAGCUUUAUCUUCCAAAACGCCCCAUAUUUUCUCUGAUUUCACCUUGUUAAAGCCUUCGCCAUUUACUUCUUCACACCGUUCGUGGUGGAUCCAUUUCGGAGGUUAGUUUUUCUAUAUUUAGCUAGUUCCUCUUUUUUUACUGUCUAUUCUUUUGCAAUUUUUUUGGGACAAUCAUUAGAGAAUCUCUGUUUUUGUAUUGAAAGAUAAAUAUAGCCUAGUAGUUUGAGAUUGAUGCUAGCAUUUUUAAAAAUAUAAAUGUAUAUGCAUAUGAGCUCGUGUAUUGUACUUUUUUGCUAAUCGCUAUUACUUAAUAUAGCACUAUUCUUUUUUGCUGUAAAUUCUUGUGUAAUGAUCGUGUUCCUCUCUGAUUGAGAUGAAAAUAAGAGAGAGGUGUAUAUAAUUAAGUAAUAAAGAUAAGUCAAAAGACGUCGAAGAGUACAAAUACUAAUUAAAUUGUAAAGGUAAAUUAUGAAGUUGACAUUGAUAAUCUCUUAGGAAUAAAUGAUAUAUCCAUUAAACAGCAAAAGAAGUCGUGAUGAAAUAAAAUUUGUUCUUGCUGACAAUUUCAUAUUCUAAUCGCUUCUAUUUUCUUCUACAUCAAAGUUCUUUUUCUUGGACUUCUGUAUAGCACUUCUAUUUUUAUAGGGUUUGUAAGCUAAUACAAUUUUUUCCAUUCAACAUAUACUUCUCAGCAUUUAUCACAACGCCACCAACUUGAGCUUGUGCAGGCCUAUGAGAUGAAUCAUCCUCCAUGACCUUCUUGGAUGUGAAAAAAUAAAGAACGCAAAUGUAUUACCUAUCUCUCAAAGUACCAAAUCACCUAUAUUUAAGAUUCCAUACUUACAUUGAGUUUAGAAGGUUUAUUUAUAUGUCCAUUCUAAUAAGUGAACUCAAAAUGGAUUUGCUUAUUUGGGUGGGAUUGACUUUUCAUAUUUUGACACCAAUCUUGAGUUGUUUGAAAGCUUAAAAUAGAGUUGUUGAAUUUUGGAAAUUACUACUUUUCUUGCAAGUUGUUUUGUUGUGAUCAGUUUGCAAGCACUUGCUACACUUUGGUCUGUUUCAAAUUCUGAUAUGGACUACACAUAUUACACUUGGAAAUUGGAUUUUUUUAUCAACUCUGUUAGCUCUCUAUGUUGUAACUCCAGAAAAACAGAUGCAUUUGUAAAGAAAAUUAGACAAUGUGGAGUUUAUUUUUAAUAGUAAUUUUUUCUUUGUAUUGGAUCACUUGGACUGGCUUGGAUAUAGUUUUAGUAACAUUUAUGCCGUCAGUUGACAAAAACUACAACAAUAAUAACAAAAGACUCAAUCUAAUUUCACGCAUGAUGUCCGCAAAGGGUAGUAUGUACGCAAACCUUAUCCAUACUUGGUAAGAUAGAGAAACUGUUCCGGUAGACCCUCCACUCAUCAUAGGUGAAAAAGAGAAAGAAAGAACUCUUCAUGUUGCUAAAAAAGUUAAGAAGAAGUCAUGAACCAACAAGCUUUCUUGGUAGGCUUAAUAAAUUAUAUUUCUGCUAAUUCCUAAUUUAAAUUCUAAAUUUGCAGAUUGAUACACUUCUAAGUAACAUUAUUAUUCUGUUUUGCUUCUUGAUAGUGUAUUAAUUAGUCAAUAUAUGAUAUAUCUCCUAACAACUCAUUAUUCUCCUAACACUAGUUAUCUUCAGUGUUAUUCAGGUUCAAAAAUAGAAGAAAGAAGUGUUUAAAAUUGAACCAAGAGGUGUGCAGUGUUCUACUCUGAAGGUUGGGCUUGUCUUUAAGACUGUAAGUUAUAUUCUUCAUUCGUUUCACAUGGCUGAAAAUGAUAAUAUUGAUAAAGUGGCUGAUGAAUAACAACUAAUCUAUAGAGGAGUGCAUUCGAAUCGGUUUAAUCUGCCUUAUUGAAAAUCGAUAAAUCGAAUCGAUAAGCCUCCAAAGUCGAUAAAUCGAAAUCGAAAAAAUCGAAACCUUAUUGAAACGAUAAUGAUAAGCAUGUGUACAAAUCGAUAAUCGAUAAAUAAUUAUCGAUAAGUAUCAAAAUCGAAUCGAUAAAUUGAAUGUACACCCCUACAUAUACAAACGCCAGACUUAGUUGGUCGUAAUAGUGUAAUAAUUCUAUUCCUCCCCUACGUUUUCUUUUUCCUUCCACCAUCGUACAGAUGCAAACUGGGGUGUCAAAUAGGUGGGUUGAGUGGAUUUUGGGUAGGUCAAAAUGGGUUGAGUCAAUAAUUUGGCAGCUCGAAUUAUUCACCCAAAAGUUACUUGGGCUAAGAUGAGUUAAAAUUUGUGUUAUAAUCCAACCCCGCGAACUCUUAUCAAACUUUACUUAAUAUGUAUUUUCUUUCUUAUGAAUUGUAUAAUUACUACACAAGAUUUUUUUUUCCGUUUGUUGUAGUCAUAUAUAACAUAUCAAACAAAAAAAAUAUUUUUAGGAUAUUUUAGCAAAGUUACUCAUGGAUCAAUUCAGCCUAAAAAUCGACCCAAUUUUAUAUGGGUUGAGAUAGGUUGGUCAAGAUAGGCUGAGUUCAAUAAAUGGACGGGUCAAUAACCAAUCCAACCUUAAGCGGGUUAGUUGGAUCAUUUGGCCCUGGGCCAAAUUUGACGGCCUUAGUUAGGGGAAAAUUUCAUAGUUGCUAAUGAAUUCAAAAAAUAUUCCACAAUAUGCAACUAUUAACUAAAUAACAUAUUCUACAAUAUAAAUAUAAAAAAUAUUAUGUUUUGCCCCGCAGUAUUAUAUUACAAUAACAUUAUAUCCGGUAGCAUUAUAUUACGACGAUGUUACACCCUAUAGUAUUGUAUGUAAAUUUAUCGUAAGAUAAUUGACAUCAGUUCAAUGGAAAGAUUAUUUGGAGAUUAUAAGUAUUACGCUAUUUCAAAGAAGUGAUAAGUAAACUCAUAAAGGUGAGAGGAUAAGCGAGUUUUGUCCAAGUUUAACCAUUGAGAUAAAAUAUGGUCCAAUCUAUAAUACCCGAUAUUUAUAGACUAGUACCGUACAGGUACCACAUGACCAUGAUAGAAAAGUGUGUAAAAGUGAUUGAUGUUUUAAGUAAUUUAAGAUAAUUUUUAAUUACGUGAGUAAUUGGAUAAUCAUAGGAUUAAUAGGAGAUUAACAAACUAAUUAAGGAAGUGAUGGAUAAGGAUUAACCUCCCAAACGUGGCAGAAUUCAAGUCCAAUUUGGUGACUCUUAAAUUAAUAAAAUAGAUGGCAAAGUUAGUGAGUUUAGUAGCUUAGUCAUCCGAAAGAAGUGGAGCCCACAGCUCAUGAUCUUAAAAGACCUUCCCAUAUCAUUAAGAGUGAAAUCUUAUGUUUGUUAAGCUAAUGGAUGAAAGCCACAAAGAGAAUGAUUAUGAAAUCAUAUAAUUCUAUUCUUGAAUUAGUGUUAACAUGAUGUCCAUGGAUGUAGCAACAACCCAAUUUUGAAUUACGUAAUAGCAACGUGAGAAUUAUGAUUCUAUUUUUCUCAAUAAUAUCAUAAGAAUAUUUCUCUAUUUCGAUUCACUGUUACGUGUUUUUUGCAAAAGACGUGUAUUACAAGGAUUGUCAAGAGAAUCGGCUCAGGUAUGUUAAGGCUAUCCUUUUUUUCCUUUGGCUUGAUUCUUAUAAAAUAAACGAAAUGGUCAAAUACACAACUUCCACAAAUGACUCUAUUCAUAGAAGUAUUAGAGGUGCAUAUAUGUUCUUAAAUUACCAUGUGUCUUAUUAUUACAUCUUAUGUUCAUAGGUCUCAAAAAAUACGUAAGUUGAAAAAGUUUACUUCAUGAUAUUACUCAAAGACAUAAUGGUCUUAUGGCAUUUCAAAGAUUUUAUUAAUAUACUUCUCAUGCAUUGCAGUCAUUUAUAUAUAUCCAUUGAACCAUGACUAGAUGGCUUUAUAUAAGUAUAUAUAUGUAUAUGAGAUAUGCAAAAAAGUUACGGCAUUAUAUACGCACUGGCUACCACCUUAUCAACUGGUAUACAUUGAUAAUUUUGCUCAUAGUGGCCGAGAUGAUAUGAUGGGAUGCCUCAGAGGCUUGAUGAUGUUAUGAACAUAUGUACCUAUGCACGAUGUGACAUUCAUACGCAUAUGCAUGACACUAUAAGUAUUUCAUGAUUUACAGAGUUAUCCAUACUUACAAGCUGAGUCAUAUACUCCAUGUUUCUUCCAUGUCUUUUAAAUAUACUUAGUUAUGUGCCUUACAUACUCGGUGCAUUAUUCGACUGACGUCCUUUUGUUGGGAUCGCUGCAUUCAUACCUACAGGUAUAGACUCUCAGUUUGACAAACCCUCAUAAUAACGAGGUUAGAAUUCAGCAAAGGAUCGGUAAGACUCCACCUCAUUCGAAGUGCAGCUGGGUCUAUGACUCAUCGUGUCAGAAUUUUGCUACAGACUUAUGGAUAGGACGGUACCCUAUCCCAAUUGUUGUCAAAUACCCUUAGUGGCUUUAUAGACAGAGGUUCAUUUUGUACAGUAUGUCAGUGGUCUCGACAACCCAUAUGUAUUCAUAUUUUAAGAGAGAUAGUUCAUUGAUACAACAUUUUCCAACUUAUAAUUAUACAUUACGAGUUAUGGCCAUGGUGGCACAAUUACCAAUGAUAUUAUGAUAAGAAAAAUAUGUUAUGU